CCUACGGGAGGCAGCAGUGAGGAAUAUUGGUCAAUGGACGCAAGUCUGAACCAGCCAUGCCGCGUGCAGGAAGACGGCUCUAUGAGUUGUAAACUGCUUUUGUACGAGGGUAAAUCCCGAUACGUGUAUCGGGUUGAAAGUAUCGUACGAAUAAGGAUCGGCUAACUCCGUGCCAGCAGCCGCGGUAAUACGGAGGAUUCAAGCGUUAUCCGGAUUUAUUGGGUUUAAAGGGUGCGUAGGCGGUUCGAGAAGUUAGGGGUGAAAUCCCGGGGCUCAACUCCGGCACUGCCUCUGAUACUGUUGGGCUAGAGUUUAGUUGCGGUAGGCGGAAUGUAUGGUGUAGCGGUGAAAUGCAUAGAGAUCAUACAGAACACCGAUUGCGAAGGCAGCUUGCUGCAGCGGAACUGACGCUGAUGCUCGAAAGCGCGGGUAUCGAACAGGAUUAGAUACCCUGGUAGUC
rnacentral:rRNA from 1 species